rnacentral:rRNA from 1 species
CCUACGGGAGGCUGCAGUGGGGAAUAUUGCACAAUGGGGGAAACCCUGAUGCAGCGACGCCGCGUGAGUGAAGAAGUAAUUCGUUAUUUAAAGCUCUAUCAGCAGGGAAGAAAAUGACGGUACCUGAGUCAGAAGCCCCGGCUAACUACGGCCCAGCAUCCGCGGUAAUACGUAGGGGGCAAGCGUUAUCCGGAUUUACUGGGUGUAAAGGGUGCGUAGACGGCAGUGCAAGUCUGGAGUGAAAGGCGGGGGCUCAACCCCCGGACUGCUCUGGAAACUGUACGGCUGGAGUGCAGGAGAGGUAAGUGGAAUUCCUAGUGUAGCGGUGAAAUGCGUAGAUAUUAGGAGGAACACCAGUGGCGAAGGCGGCUUACUGGACUGUAACUGACGUUGAGGCUCGAAAGCGUGGGGAGCAAACAGGAUUAGAUACCCUUGUAGUC